GGCUCCGUGGUCAAGAGGUCAAGACAUCGCCCUUUCACGGCGGUAACGCGGGUUCGAUUCCCGCCGGAGUCACCA
rnacentral:tRNA from 1 species